rnacentral:snRNA from 1 species
GCUUUUACUUUGCAGUUGUAACAGGAGAAAGCAUUUUAGAAAAUGUAUCUUUCAGAGAAGAUUAGCAUGGCCCCUGCACAAGGAUGACACUCAAAUUCGUGAAGCGUUCCAUAUUUAA